GAUGAACGCUAGCGGCAGGCCUAAUACAUGCAAGUCGAGGGUACAGGGAGCUUGCUUCCGCUGACGACCGGCGCACGGGUGCGUAACGCGUAUACAAUCUGCCCUUAACUGGAGGAUAGCCACUGGAACAAGUGAUUAAUACUCCAUAACACUGCACGAUCGCAUGAGAGAGCAGUUAAAGAAUUUCGGUUAAGGAUGAGUAUGCGUGACAUUAGCUGGUUGGUAGAGGUAACGGCUCACCAAGGCAACGAUGUCUAGGGGUUCUGAGAGGAUGAUCCCCCACACUGGUACUGAGACACGGACCAGACUCCUACGGGAGGCAG
rnacentral:rRNA from 1 species